rnacentral:misc_RNA from 1 species
GAUGAAGAACGCAGCGAAAUGCGAUAAGUAAUGUGAAUUGCAGAAUUCAGUGAAUCAUCGAAUCUUUGAACGCACCUUGCGCCCUUUGGCUAUUCCGAAGGGCAUGCCUGUUUGAGUAUCAUGAACACCUCAACUCUCAUGGCCUGCCAUGAUGAGCUUGGACUUUGGGGGUCUUGCCGGCCUAGUGUCGGCUCCUCUCAAACGGAUCAGCUUGCCAGUGUUUGGUGGCGUCACAGGUGUGAUAACUAUCUACGCUUGUGGUUUUCCACCAGGGUAACCUUCAGCAGUGGAGGUUCACUGGAGCUUACAAAUGUCUCUCCUCCGUGAGGACAGCCCUUUGAAUGUUUGAUCUCAAAUCAGGUAGGACUACCCGCUGAACUUAAGCAUAUCAAUAAGCGGAGGA